rnacentral:rRNA from 1 species
AUACGGAGGGUGCAAGCGUUGUUCGGAAUCACUGGGCGUAAAGGGCGCGCAGGCGGUUUGGUAAGUCAGAUGUGAAAGCCCACGGCUCAACCGUGGAAGUGCAUUUGAAACUGUCAGACUUGAGUACUAGAGGGGGAAGUGGAAUUCCCGGUGUAGAGGUGAAAUUCGUAGAUAUCGGGAGGAAUACCGGUGGCGAAGGCGACUUUCUGGCUAGAUACUGACGCUGAGGCGCGAAAGCGUGGGGAGCGAACAGGAUUAGAAACCCUAGUAGUCC